CCUGGGUAAAUCGUGUAGCUUAACUAUACGACUUCCGGGUAGACUGCUAAACUUGAGACCGGGAGAGGCUAGAGGUACUCCUGGGGUAGAGGUGAAAUUCUGUAAUCCUAGGGGGACCACCAGUGGCGAAGGCGUCUAGCUAGAACGGUUCUGACGGUGAGGGACGAAGCCCUGGGGCACAAACCGGAUUAGAUACCCGGGUAGUCCAGGGUGUAAACGCUGCUUGCUUGAUGUUAGUUGGGCUCCGAGCCCAACUAGUGUCGGAGAGAAGUUGUUAAGCAAGCUGCCUGGGAAGUACGGUCGCAAGGCUGAAACUUAAAGGAAUUGGCGGGGGAGCACAGCAACGGGUGGAGCGUGCGGUUUAAUUGGAUUCAACGCCGGAAAACUCACCGGAGGCGACGGUUACAUGAAGGCCAGGCUGAUGACCUUGCCUGAUUUUCCGAGAGGUGGUGCAUGGCCGCCGUCAGUUCGUACCGUAAGGCGUUUUGUUAAGUCAGACAACGAACGAGACCCUCAUCUUUAAUUGUUACUGGUAAGUUCGCUUACUGGGCACAUUAGAGAAACCGCUGGCGAUAAGUCAGAGGAAGGCGAGGGCAACGGUAGGUCAGUAUGCCCUGAAUCCUCCGGGCUACACGCGCGCUACAAAGGCUAGGACAAUGAGCUUCAACACCGAGAGGUGAAGGUAAUCUCGAAACCUAGUCGUAGUUCGGAUUGAGGGUUGAAACUCACCCUCAUGAAGCUGGAAUCCGUAGUAAUCGCGGAUCAACAUCCCGCGGUGAAUAUGCCCCUGCUC
rnacentral:rRNA from 1 species